AUUGAACGCUGGCGGCAUGCCUUACACAUGCAAGUCGAACGGCAGCACGGGAGCUUGCUCCUGGUGGCGAGUGGCGAACGGGUGAGUAAUACAUCGGAACGUACCCUGAAGUGGGGGAUAACGUAGCGAAAGUUACGCUAAUACCGCAUAUUCUGUGAGCAGGAAAGAGGGGGAUCGCAAGACCUCUUGCUUUAGGAGCGGCCGAUGUCGGAUUAGCUAGUUGGUGAGGUAAAGGCUCACCAAGGCGACGAUCCGUAGCGGGUCUGAGAGGAUGAUCCGCCACACUGGGACUGAGACACGGCCCAGACUCCUACGGGAGGCAGCAGUGGGGAAUUUUGGUA
rnacentral:rRNA from 1 species